UGCCCAGCAACUCCUAUUCCUACCUCCAAGCGGGAGCGGCCGGAAACUAUGAGCAACCUUAGGGAAGAUCGGGUAACCGACCCCAGUGGGAACUUUGGUCGUAGGCUGACAGGGAAGG
rfam:Aedes albopictus isolate Foshan contig117599, whole genome shotgun sequence.